UACGUAGGGUGCCAAGCGUUGUCCGGAAUUAUUGGGCGUAAAGAGCUCGUAGGCGGCUUGUCGCGUCGGCUGUGAAAACCUGGGGCUUAACCCCGGGCCUGCAGUGGGUACGGGGCAGACUAGAGUGUGGUAGGGGAGACUGGAAUUCCUGGUGUAGUCGGUGAAAUGCGCAGAUAUCAGGAGGAACACCGGUGGCGAAGGCGGUUCUCUGGGCAUGUUCUGACGUGAGGAGCGAAAGUGUGGGGAGCGA
rnacentral:rRNA from 1 species